UGAAAUAACGUCAUUUCUGACGUACUACCCGGCC
rnacentral:sRNA from 1 species